UACGUAGGGCGCAAGCGUUGUCCGGAAUUAUUGGGCGUAAAGAGCUCGUAGGCGGUCUGUCGCGUCGGGUGUGAAAGCCCACGGCUUAACCGUGGGUCUGCAUUCGAUACGGGCAGACUAGAGGCAGGUAGGGGAGCAUGGAAUUCCCGGUGUAGCGGUGAAAUGCGCAGAUAUCGGGAGGAACACCGGUGGCGAAGGCGGUGCUCUGGGCCUGUACUGACGCUGAGGAGCGAAAGCGUGGGGAGCGAACAGG
rnacentral:rRNA from 1 species